rnacentral:tRNA from 1 species
CGGGGUGUAGCGCAGCUUGGUAGCGCAUCUGCUUUGGGAGCAGAGGGUCGGGAGUUCAAAUCUCUUCACCCCGACCA